CCACCACCUAAUAGAAACCUCACUACUCAAACCAGCCCAUUUCCACUUAUAUUCCUCAGUUUGAGGUCUCAAUAACCAAAUUUAUAAAGCUACUAGCUAACCCAAAUAUAACAAAGCUUUGUGUGAAAAUGAGAAGAUUGACUCUUGGGGUGAUCCUUCUGCUUGUGCUGAUCAGCUCGGCCAUGGUAACCGAAGGGGCGAAGCGUAUGAGUCUCCGACGUCUGGCUGAGAAACCCGAGCCGCGGCUGCGGGGUAAUGAGAAUGAAAGGGGCAAAAGUAGGCGCCCUGAUAGUGAAAGUGGUGGAUACAAUCACCAUGGGUGUCCCAGAAGAGAUGUGGAUUGCUGGAGUAAUUGAAAGCAAACUGGAGGGUAAUUGAUAUAAUAAGUUGGCUAGCUAGACUAUCUGUGUUAAAUAAACGAGGCCACAAUGAGAUAACUAUUUCGAAGCCAAA